GCUUAGGAGAGAUAACAGAGGAUUAGAUGCUUCACUUGUAAGAACAGCAUCCAUCAGCUCCAGCAGAUAAGAUAAUUAGCUACAAGGACCGCCAAGCCUUGUGCCUCCGGCAUUAGCGGCACUGACGGGCAGCGUGAAUCGGGUUGCUUCCUCGCACCAACCAGCAGUACGCAAUUAGCUAGGUGCUGCAGGCAGGGCUGGAAAAGAGAGCUGGAGGCUGCAGCUGGAGGCCAGAAACCAGGAGGACACAAAAUCCCUCUGUCCAGAUCCCCAGAGCUAUAUAUAUUCGGUGUGCCCUGUUCUCAGAUUAGGGCUUGCAAAAAAGGAAAACAUCUUGCUGUGCUGGAUCAAGCAUUUCACAGCAUCGUGCCCUGGCUCCCAAGACAGUUUGUCUCACUGGCCAGCUGCCUCUGCAUGUGGCUUCAAUUGCAUCAGCACCUACUCCAGCUCAGUAGUCAGUGGGCCAAAUUCUGUCUAUACUUGGAUCAGGGGACAGCCUCAGCAGAGCUACAAAGUGUUUUCUGCCUGAGAAAAGCUAUUCACCUUCUGGGACUGUCAGCCCAGGACUGCUCAGAUCAGCGCAGCCAUGCCGGUGCUUCCUUGCUCUCCAGAAGAGUUUAUUUUGUGCACGUAUGCUAAAGCAACGUUCUUUUAAAAGAUGCAUGCCCUCAAAUGGUUGUACUGCUGUGUCACUGGUGGGGAUUGUGAGCUCUGGAAGUUUAUUUCAAUACAUUGCUCCUGGAGGCAGUUUCAGGUGUACUCUGCCAUUGACUCAGAGGUCCUUGCUGUGGGCUCAGCAUCGAAACCUUUACAUGGCCUCCCGCGGGACAUUCAGCCAGCACCUUGUUUUCACAGCAAGGUUCCCUCCUGUCCUUACCCCUGCUUCAAGACGGGUUUGACUGCAGCAGUCAGAGGUGUACGAAGUGCUUUUGGAAGGCUCUGCAGAGUGACUCAGCAGCUCAGCUCUGGUUACGUGACCCAGAAUCGACUUGGCACAAAACCUGCCUGUUCUCACUGCUGGGCCACAGCUCUGCCAGCUGCAGGUCAGCUCACGCUCACCCUCCCUCACCCUGUCCCUUCCUCCAGGAGUCUGCUUUGCCUUCAUUUUUUUGCAGGCACCAAAGUGGUUCUUUUCUUGGCCUGGGCUCUUCCCUUCCAGCUCUUCCAGGUAGGACGGAUCCAGAUGAGUUCUGGUCCUGUCUGAAGACAAUAGGUGGAAGAUACUUCUCCCCCUGCCUCCCCCUGCCCCUCCCACCCCCAUGCUCCUGUUCUGCAUCAGCCCUUUGGAAUUCUUUUAAUCUCCAACCCUUGCAACUCAACUGCUUCUUCCUGUCUGGAUCGCAGUUGAAAGCUCCAUUUGUUUAAUUUGGCUUUUAAUUGACCUCAUCCAACAAUUGUUGAUGUCUCAGCUAAUCUGUGUUUCUCUGCUGCUUAUCUGGUGCCGUCCUUUGAAGUCCUCAACACGAUAAAGUGUCCUGUAAGAAGAGAGAACAAAAGAUGACUGUGACAAAAUUUUUCAUUUAGCUCUCACUGUCCAGUCAAUAUUUUAAUUGUCCCUCAACAUUGAGACAAGAAGGAGAAGCAGAGAGACUACCAAGAAAAUAUAUAAUAAUUUAUAUCAACCCCACUUAAGUGGAGACUUUUGUAAUAAUCUUUUCUAAAUAAUUACAUCAUUCAACUCUUCAUCUAUCAAUAAAAGCAAGUAGCAUGAGCCUGCUCUCA
rnacentral:lncRNA from 1 species